rnacentral:lncRNA from 1 species
UUGCGUUGUCAUACCCACAAUAUGCAUAAUCAUCUUGGUCAAAGGAUCUAUAAAGCUCUUUCUUUUUAGCCCAAUUAUCCCGAAUUAUGUUUGUAGAAAAUAAUUUCCAUCUGUCCAUCAUCAUCAAAACAAAGUUAUGCUCUAGCUUGCACCUAAUUUCAUAUUCAAUCUUUUGGACAACAUCCUAAACCCAUGUUUCAACCUUCAAAUGGACCUCUAAAUUUCAAUAAAACCGGAUGCAUGACAAGAACAAAGGAGGUAAGCCAUGAAGAACCAUAUCAAUUGAUCACGACCU